rnacentral:rRNA from 1 species
GACGAACGCUGGCGGCGUGCUUAACACAUGCAAGUCGAACGGUAAGGCCCUUCGGGGUACACGAGUGGCGAACGGGUGAGUAACACGUGGGUGAUCUGCCCUGCACUUCGGGAUAAGCCUGGGAAACUGGGUCUAAUACCGGAUAGGACCACUGCCUGCAUGGGUGGUGGUGGAAAGCUUUUGCGGUGUGGGAUGGGCCCGCGGCCUAUCAGCUUGUUGGUGGGGUGAUGGCCUACCAAGGCGACGACGGGUAGCCGGCCUGAGAGGGCAACCGGCCACACUGGGACUGAGAUACGGCCCAGACUCCUACGGGAGGCAGCAGUGGGGAAUAUUGCACAAUGGGCGCAAGCCUGAUGCAGCGACGCCGCGUGAGGGAUGACGGCCUUCGGGUUGUAAACCUCUUUCAGCACCGACGAAGCGCAAGUGACGGUAGGUGCAGAAGAAGGACCGGCCAACUACGUGCCAGCCGCCGCGGUAA